GACGAACGCUGGCGGCGUGCCUAAUACAUGCAAGUCGAGCGGACAGACGGGAGCUUGCUCCCUGAUGUUAGCGGCGGACGGGUGAGUAACACGUGGGUAACCUGCCUGUAAGACUGGGAUAACUCCGGGAAACCGGGGCUAAUACCGGAUGGUUGUCUGAACCGCAUGGUUCAGACAUAAAAGGUGGCUUCGGCUACCACUUACAGAUGGACCCGCGGCGCAUUAGCUAGUUGGUGAGGUAACGGCUCACCAAGGCAACGAUGCGUAGCCGACCUGAGAGGGUGAUCGGCCACACUGGGACUGAGACACGGCCCAGACUCCUACGGGAGGCAGCAGUAGGGAAUCUUCCGCAAUGGACGAAAGUCUGACGGAGCAACGCCGCGUGAGUGAUGAAGGUUUUCGGAUCGUAAAGCUCUGUUGUUAGGGAAGAACAAGUGCCGUUCAAAUAGGGCGGCACCUUGACGGUACCUAACCAGAAAGCCACGGCUAACUACGU
rnacentral:rRNA from 1 species